GGGUAACGGCCCACCAAGGCGACAACGGGUAGCUGGUCUGAGAGGAUGGUCAGCCACACUGGAACUGAGACACGGUCCAGACACCUACGGGUGGCAGCAGUCGAGAAUCAUUCGCAAUGGGGGAAACCCUGACGAUGCGACGCCGCGUGGAGGAUGAAGGCCUUAGGGUUGUAAACUCCUGUCAAGAGGGAAUAAGCAAGUGAAGGUACCUCUAGAGGAAGGGGCGGCUAAUUCCGUGCCAGCAGCCGCGGUAACACGGAAGCCCCGAGCGUUGUUCGGAUUCAUUGGGCGUAAAGGGUGCGUAGGCGGCGCGGAAAGUCCGGCGUGAAAGGCAGGGGCUCAACCUCUGGACUGCGUUGGAUACUUCCGUGCUUGAGGACUGGAGGGGAGACUGGAAUUCACGGUGUAGCAGUGAAAUGCGUAGAUAUCGUGAGGAAGACCGGUGGCGAAGGCGAGUCUCUGGACAGAUCCUGACGCUGAGGCACGAAGGCUGGGGGAGCGAACAGGAUUAGAUACCCUGGUAGUCCCAGCAGUAAACGAUGCGAGCUUGAUGUGGGGGGAUUCGACCCCUUCCGUGUCGAAGCUAACGCGAUAAGCUCACCGCCUGAGGAGUACGGCCGCAAGGCUAAAACUCAAAGAAAUUGACGGGGACCCGCACAAGCGGUGGAGUAUGUGGCUUAAUUCGAUGCAACGCGAAGAACCUUACCUGGCCUUGACAUGCAUUGUGUCGUCGGUGAAAGCCGGCUAGUCCUGGAAACAGGACGCUUUGCACAGGUGCUGCAUGGCUGUCGUCAGCUCGUGUCGUGAGAUGUUGGGUUAAGUCCCGCAACGAGCGCAACCCUUGUGGUCAGUUACUAACCGGCUUAGCCGGAGGACUCUGGCCAGACUGCCCUGUCAAACGGGGAGGAAGGUGGGGACGACGUCAAGUCAGUAUGGCCCUUAUGGCCAGGGCUGCACACGUACUACAAUGCCCGGUACAAUGUGAACCGAAACCGCGAGGUGGAGGAAAUCGCUCUUGAAAACCGGGCCCAGUUCGGAUUGGAGUCUGCAACUCGACUCCAUGAAGUCGGAAUCG
rnacentral:rRNA from 1 species